rnacentral:rRNA from 1 species
UACGUAGGGUCCGAGCGUUGUCCGGAAUUACUGGGCGUAAAGAGCUCGUAGGUGGUUUGUCGCGUUGUUCGUGAAAACUCACAGCUCAACUGUGGGCGUGCGGGCGAUACGGGCAGACUUGAGUACUGCAGGGGAGACUGGAAUUCCUGGUGUAGCGGUGGAAUGCGCAGAUAUCAGGAAGAACACCAAUGGCGAAGGCAGCUCUCUGGGACGGUACUGACGCUGAGACGCGAAAGCGUGGGGAGCGAACAGG